CCUACGGGGGUCAGCAGUGGGGAAUAUUGGACAAUGGGGGCAACCCUGAUCCAGCCAUGCCGCGUGUGUGAAGAAGGCCCUCGGGUUGUAAAGCACUUUCAGUGAGGAAGAACGCCUGGUGGUUAAUACCCAUCAGGAAAGACAUCACUCACAGAAGAAGCACCGGCUAACUCCGUGCCAGCAGCCGCGGUAAUACGGAGGGUGCGAGCGUUAAUCGGAAUUACUGGGCGUAAAGCGCGCGUAGGUGGCUUGAUAAGCCGGUUGUGAAAGCCCCGGGCUCAACCUGGGAACGGCAUCCGGAACUGUCAAGCUAGAGUGCAGGAGAGGAAGGUAGAAUUCCCGGUGUAGCGGUGAAAUGCGUAGAGAUCGAGAGGAAUACCAGUGGCGAAGGCGGCCUUCUGGACUGACACUGACACUGAGGUGCGAAAGCGUGGGUAGCAAACAGGAUUAGAUACCCCUGUAGUC
rnacentral:rRNA from 1 species